UACGAAGGGUGCAAGCGUUACUCGGAAUUACUGGGCGUAAAGGGCGCGUAGGCGGCAAUUCAAGUCAUCUGUGAAAUCUCCGGGCUUAACUCGGAACGGUCAGAUGAUACUGCUUUGCUAGAGUGCGGAAGGGGCAAUCGGAAUUCUUGGUGUAGCGGUGAAAUGCGUAGAUAUCAAGAGGAACACCUGAGGUGAAGACGGGUUGCUGGGCCGACACUGACGCUGAUAGCGCGAAAGCCAGGGGAGCAAACGGG
rnacentral:rRNA from 1 species